rnacentral:lncRNA from 1 species
CUUCUCUGCUUUUUCCAAUCCACGUCUUGGGUCUACAGAGCUGCUCUUUAUUGACUUUCCAUUGUGGUUUGAACCUAGAACACCCUCCAUAUGUUGAUUUAUUUGAACACCUGGUCCACAGCUGGUGGUUCUGUUUGAGAAGGUCUUAUGUCCUUGUUGGUGAAGACGAGCCAACAGGGCUUUGUGAGUUGUGGUCUGCUCUUCUGUGGUCCUGCUUUCUGUUUCCCGGUCUGGAGAGACACAACAGCCAGAGAGUCCAGUACGACAGAGCCUCCAUACAAUGCCAUCCUUGAAAUGAUGCCAUACACAAACCACAGUCCAGACACAUUUCUCCUCUCUCAAGUUGAUGGUAUCAGGUACUUAGUGUGAAGACAAGAGUGACUGAUUCUGAACAAUGGUACCAAGAGGUGAGGAUCCUUCUGUGAUAAACCUGACCCUGUAGCUCUUAGGUCUUCAGAACUGAUUUCUGGAAGGACUGUGGAAGAAUUUGAAGCUGAAGACUAGAGGAGCCCAAGAAUGUUGUAAAAGAGCCUAAUGAGCCAAUCUGGUGGAACUUGGAAGGCCAGAACACAGAUGGAAAUGUGGAUAAGAUAUUUCUUCUCUUCAGCUGAGCAGGCUGCUGAAACCUGUUCUAACGGGGCUUGGAUAGGUCUCAAAUUUGUUUUCAUCCACGUCGCUGACUUUGCCAGCAUGCAGAAUACAAGGAUGACAUUCUUCUGAAGAUUUGCAUAGAGGUUCAGGGGCUGGCGGGAGCCUAUGAGACCUGGCAGUGUGUGACAAGGCCAGACUCCCUGCCAGAAUGCCCAGAGAGGCCAGCAUGCAUACCUAAACUGCAGUGGAGACACGAAGACACCAGGAAUACGAGGCAUCUGCCGUACAGGUAAGACUGUGCAAACAGGAGAGAAACGCAGAGGCGUUUACUAAUAUCGGAAGAUCACAAACAGUAAGCAGAUGGGAGAGAGACCAGCCUGAGACAGCGACCAACACAAUGUGUGUGGCUGUGUGUGGUGAUGGUGACCACCCUGUUCUGCAGCAGAGUCACCCCAGGCUGCUCUGUGGCUUCUCUUUCCAUUUCCAAUUUUGAGCCUGCAGUGCUGGAGAUAUUUCAAGCAACCAAGUUACUCUCAAAGGGAAAAAACAGGCAAUGGAGAGACGGGCUGGGUCGGGAUGUUAAGAAACAGUCACCACAGCGGGCGAUGGCUUGACGUGAACUUUUCUAAGUCUGUCUCUCUUCUUGUCUUUGUUCACCUUUCUCUCUGUCUCUGAAGCUGAAGAAAGACUUCAAAUACUGGGCAAAGUCUGAGUGUCAUGGAACAAGAAGUCCCAGAGCUGUUGGAUCUUCAUUCCAUUGGCUCUGAAAUACAACAUGGAUCUGCAAGCCGGACCUGUAGGAGUCACAUGUUAGCCGAGUCAAAAUCGAAGAUGAGACUGGUUUGAACAUCUGAGAAAAUGCACUUAAGUCACAAUCAACUCGCUCAUGUGAGCACCAUACAGCUUUAUUGUGGAUUAAAAGCCCCAUAUUAUUGCAGCACCC